rnacentral:rRNA from 1 species
UACGAAGGGUGCAAGCGUUACUCGGAAUUACUGGGCGUAAAGCGUGCGUAGGUGGUGAGUUAAGUCUGUCGUGAAAGCCCCGGGCUCAACCUGGGAAUGGCGAUGGAUACUGGCUCGCUAGAGUGCGGUAGAGGAGAGUGGAAUUCCCGGUGUAGCAGUGAAAUGCGUAGAGAUCGGGAGGAACAUCAGUUGCGAAGGCGGCUCUCUGGGCAGAUACUGACGCUGAGACGCGAAAGCAUGGGGAGCAAACAGG